rnacentral:rRNA from 1 species
UACGUAGGGGGCAAGCGUUAUCCGGAUUUACUGGGUGUAAAGGGAGCGUAGACGGUAAUGCAAGUCUGGAGUGAAAGGCGGGGGCCCAACCCCCGGACUGCUCUGGAAACUGUGAUACUGGAGUGCAGGAGAGGUAAGUGGAAUUCCUAGUGUAGCGGUGAAAUGCGUAGAUAUUAGGAGGAACACCAGUGGCGAAGGCGGCUUACUGGACUGUAACUGACGUUGAGGCUCGAAAGCGUG